rnacentral:rRNA from 1 species
GACCUCAAAUCAGGUAGGGCUACCCGCUGAACUUAAGCAUAUCAAUAAGCGGAGGAAAAGAAACUAACAAGGAUUCCCCUAGUAACGGCGAGCGAACCGGGAUGAGCUCAAAUUUGAAAUCUGGCGCCCUCCGGACGUCCGAGUUGUAAUCUAUAGAAGCGUUUUCCGUGCCGGACCGUGUCCAAGUCCCUUGGAACAGGGUAUCAAAGAGGGUGACAAUCCCGUACUUGACACGACGACCGGCGCUCUGUGAUACGUUCUCUACGAGUCGAGUUGUUUGGGAAUGCAGCUCAAAACGGGUGGUAAAUUCCAUCUAAAGCUAAAUAUUGGCGAGAGACCGAUAGCGAACAAGUACCGUGAGGGAAAGAUGAAAAGCACUU